UACGAAGGGGGCUAGCGUUGUUCGGAAUUACUGGGCGUAAAGCGCACGUAGGCGGAUCGAUUAGUCAGGGGUGAAAGCCCAGGGCUCAACCCUGGAAUUGCCUUUAAGACUGCAUCGCUUGAACAUCGGAGAGGUAAGUGGAAUUCCGAGUGUAGAGGUGAAAUUCGUAGAUAUUCGGAAGAACACCAGUGGCGAAGGCGACUUACUGGACGAUUGUUGACGCUGAGGUGCGAAAGCGUGGGGAGCAAACAGG
rnacentral:rRNA from 1 species